rnacentral:rRNA from 1 species
UACAGAGGUCUCAAGCGUUUGUUCGGAAUUACUGGGCGUAAAGGGUGCGCAGGCCGCGCGGGCAGUCAAAUGUGUAAUUCAGGGGCUCAACCCCUGCACUGCGCUUGAUACUUCCGCGCUCGAGCUUUGGAGAGGAGUCUGGAAUUCUCGGUGUAGCAGUGAAAUGCGUGGAUAUCGAGAAGAACACUUAGGGCGUAGGCAAGACUCUGGACAAAUGCUGACGCUCAUGCACGAAGGCUAGGAUAGCGAACGGG